ACAUAAACAAUAGGGCAGAGGAAGCAAUCGGAUAGGCAUUUGCUUCAGGUGAGCAGAGGGAUGACUUUCUGUCCCACAUCUGUGAAGAUCAGCUGUUGGUUUACAUUGCCAGGGUGAAAUUCAACAGAACUAAUUUAGGGUGAAGAUCUUGAGGCCCACAAGGAAUUUCCUUGUGGGAAAAUUGUGAGGAAGAGCAAUCACUGCACCCAGCCACCUCUAUAUACAUGUACACAAAGCCACACAGUUUACACAGUCACAGGUAUUUAAGUACACACUAUUCACACACAAAUACAUAUAUAGACACACAUGUACAGUCCGUCCAAAAUAUAUGUACAUAAAAGCACACUAUUACACCUUCAUAUGUGCACACACACACACACCCAGACUCACUUCAUACACACAUAGAUACAACAGCCACAGCUCCCCAUCACCUACACACACACACACACACCUGGACACCCAGCUCUAAUAUAAUCAGAUAGAGAUAUGCAUGCAGACAAAUUUGCCUGUAUAGUCAAACACAUAGGCAAAUAGAGAACGAGACACCACAUGAACAAAGGCAAACCUACACACAAAGACACAGAGCACACUUACGCAUAUAUCUAUAGACCCACCAUGGCACAUAUGGGUAAGUGCACACAGGCAAACUCACACACACGAGCAUGCACAGGCAGAGAACACAAAUGUACACUCCCAGGUGUCAUAAAGAACAGCCCAGCUUCGGCUUGGGAACGUCACAUCAGACAAUAGGAACGGCUGCACCGCGCGUUUCCUCGGCUGCCAGCUUCCCAGCCACAGAGGAUGCCUCACCUGCUAUGUCAGCUCCCCUCUGCCCCACCUCACAAGAAGCUCAGAAGCUGAGGAGUCACAGAGAGACCUCCCUACUGUGUCAGAGCAUUUUAGGACCCAAAGGGACCUAAGAGAGUGCUCAGACAGCUGGCUGCGUUAGGAGCUACCUGUGGCUGCUGAAGAAGAGUUUGCGUCAAUUUAAAGAAAGAGCCAUUCAAGGAAUGAGGACCAUGACCUUGGCUGCACUGACCAGCUGGGCUCUGGAGACUCAGUGAGGCUGCCCAGCCACCAACAGGCCCUGCACAAUAGAUCCACGGACCCAGCAGUCAGAGGUGACCCUAGGGGUCACUGGCCCGUGGCUAAGGAGGAGGAGCACAGACCUGCGACCCCCUUUUCCCAUGGACCACC
rnacentral:lncRNA from 1 species